rnacentral:lncRNA from 1 species
CUACUAUGCCAACUCCUACAGCUUUUGGCUGGCAACUGUAGAUGUGUCAGACAUGUUCAGUAAACCUCAGUCAGAAACGCUGAAAGCAGGAGACUUGAGGACACGAAUUAGCCGAUGUCAAGUGUGCAUGAAGAGGACAUAACAUUUUGAAGAAUUCCUUUUGUGUUUUAAAAUGUGAUAUAUAUAUAUAUAAAAUUCCUAGGAUGCAGUGUCUCAUUGUCCCCAACUUUACUACUGCUGCCGUCAAUGGUGCUACUAUAUAUGAUCAAGAUAACAUGCUGACUAGUAACCAUGAAGAUUCAGAUGUACCUCAGCAAUGCGCCAGAGCAAAGUCUCUAUUAUUUUUCUACUAAAGAAAUAAGGAAGUGAAUUUACUUUUUGGGUCCAGAAUGACUUUCUCCAAGAAUUAUAAGAUGAAAAUUAUAUAUUUUGCCCAGUUACUAAAAUGGUACAUUAAAAAUUCAAUUAAGAGAAGAGUCACAUUGAGUAAAAUAAAAGACUGCAGUUUGUGGGAAGAAUUAUUUUUCACGGUGCUACUAAUCCUGCUGUAUCCCGGGUUUUUAAUAUAAAGGUGUUAAGCUUAUUUUGCUUUGUAAGUAAAGAAUGUGUAUAUUGUGAACAGCCUUUUAGCUCAAAAUGUUGAGUCAUUUACAUAUGACAUAGCAUGAAUCACUCUUUACAGAAAAUGUAGGAAACCCUAGAAUACAGACAGCAAUAUUUUAUAUUCAUGUUUAUCAAAGUGAGAGGACUUAUAUUCCUACAUCAAGUUACUACUGAGAGUAAAUUUAUUUUGAGUUUUAUCCCGUAAGUUCUGUUUUGAUUUUUUUUAAAAAACAAACCCUUUUAGUCACUUUAAUCAGAAUUUUAAAUGUUCAUGUUACAUACCAAAUUAUAAUAUCUAAUGGAGCAAUUUGUCUUUUGCUAUAUUCUCCAAGAUUAUCUCUUAAGACCAUAUGCCCCCUGUUUUAAUGUUUCUUACAUCUUGUUUUUACUCAUUUCUGACUGGACAAAGUUCUUCCAAACAAUUCUGAGAAACAAAAACACACACGCAGAAUUAACAAUUCUUUUCCCUGUGCUUCUUAUGUAAGAAUCCUCCUGUGGCCUCUGCUUGUACAGAACUGGGAAACAACACUUGGUUAGUCUCUUUUAAGUUACAAAAAGCCAAUUGAUGUUUCUUAUUCUUUUUAAAUUUUAAAUAUUUUGUUAUAAAUACUCACAGGAUACCUUAUUUCCCUAGCUAUCAUCUCCUGACUUAAUGUUUUUUAAACCCACCAAUAUAAAUUUAAUUAAAGAUAUAUGUUGUAAGGAU